UAUUUAUUUUACAUUUUAAACUUUUGUUCUUUGCUCUUUAAGAAUCCACACAGAUGAUGUCCUCAGUCGGAGGUAAACUGGUGUUGUUCUGGAUAAGGUGCGACAGUGUCUCUGACGUGGUUGAAUACCUGUGGUUCAAAUCAUUUUAAAAUAUCAUCUAAGAGCGACUGGAGUCACAAGUUUGUCGAAAACGGGCCCGGCGGUGGUGUAUUUAAGGAUGGAGAUGUGAUCCCAGUUAGGCCAAACUCAAAGUAAUUCAGGAUGUCCUCCCGUGAUGUGCAGGCUGUGGAAGUCAAACCUUCUUCCUUCUCCGAGUUGAUCUGCGGCCCAUUGGCGAUGCUACAAAGCUACAUGGGUGAAAUCACAGCUGGCUGCUGGCACCAAGAGGUGCAGCAGGAAGCAGCAUCCGGACCUGCAGGCAAACAACAUGCCGACCGGUUGAAUACAGAUCAUCUACAGACUAUAACAAACCAAAGGAACAAGCAGUGUGCACCUUUGGUCCAGCAGCAGAGAUGAUGAUGUGCCCAGGUGGUUGGAUCCACGGUUCUCCGUCUACAUGGACAGCAGGCCGUCAUCGAUGCUGGGUUUCCCAUAGCGACUGUCGACCUCUGACCCCCAGAGAUCAGCUCCAGAACCCCAACUAGACACACACACACACACACACACAGGGGAAGGUAAGUGUGAGGUCACAA